AGUGGGAUAGCUGGGUCAAAUGGUGGUUCCAUUCCAAGUUUUCUGAGGAAUCUCCAUAUGGCUUUCCAGAGUGGUUGCACCAAUUUGCAGUCCCACCAGCAAU
rnacentral:pre_miRNA from 1 species